GAUGAACGCUGGCGGCGUGCUUAACACAUGCAAGUCGAACGGGAAUUAUUUUAUUGAAACUUCGGUCGAUUUAAUUUAAUUCUAGUGGCGGACGGGUGAGUAACGCGUGGGUAACCUGCCUUAUACAGGGGGAUAACAGUCAGAAAUGGCUGCUAAUACCGCAUAAGCGCACAGAGCUGCAUGGCUCAGUGUGAAAAACUCCGGUGGUAUAAGAUGGACCCGCGUUGGAUUAGCUUGUUGGCAGGGUAACGGCCUACCAAGGCGACGAUCCAUAGCCGGCCUGAGAGGGUGAACGGCCACAUUGGGACUGAGACACGGCCCAGACUCCUACAGGAGGCAGCAGUGGGGAAUAUUGCACAAUGGGGGAAACCCUGAUGCAGCGACGCCGCGUGAAGGAAGAAGUAUCUCGGUAUGUAAACUUCUAUCAGCAGGGAAGAUAGUGACGGUACCUGACUAAGAAGCCCCGGCUAACUACGUG
rnacentral:rRNA from 1 species